AGUAAUGGCAGGUCAGCAUACUGCCGUGAAUACGUUCCCGGGCCUUGUACACACCGCCCGUCACACCAUGAGAGUUGGGAAUACCCGAAGCCUGUGAGCUAACAUUAAGAGGCAGUAGUCGAAGGUAGAAUCAAUGAUUGGGGGUGAAGUCGUAACAAGGUAGC
rnacentral:rRNA from 1 species